rnacentral:rRNA from 1 species
ACAUGCCUACAACAUAGAAUUAAUGCAAUGAAUCCCAUUAGAACUAUGCAGUUAAGCACACUCAGGAUAGAGUAGUUUUGGGAUGGGUGACCACCCAAGAAGUCCUAGUGUUUUACAUGCC